GCCUUCGUGGUGUAGUGGUCAGAACGCUCGACGCACGUUCGAGAGGUCCGUGGUUCGAGUCCCGGCGAAAGCA
rfam:Stegodyphus mimosarum contig42511, whole genome shotgun sequence.